AAAAGCACUUAAGGAACGGUA
rnacentral:miRNA from 1 species